rnacentral:tRNA from 1 species
GCGGACAUAGUUCAACAGCAAGAAUCCGGCGUUGCCAGCGCCGGGAUGCGGGUUGGAGCCCCGCUGUCCGCACCA